AUGGCGACUCUUUCUCUCUCCCUGGCACACCCGCAGGUCCGCGCCCUCUGGCGACAAGCAGGGCGGCCGCAGCGGUCGCGUGGCUCGUCCAGCCGCCGGUUCAGGCACGCACACGCCGCCGGGAGGGUGCAGGCCAGCUACAGGGGUCUUGAGCCGCUGUACGAUGAUGGGUACGGGACGGUCAAGGACCUGGGCCACUACUAUCGGGCGAUCGGGGAGCUGGUGGAGCACGACGGCGGGCCGCCCCGCUGGCUUUGCCCCGUCGACGCCGGCGAACCGGCGGUCGAGGAUGCCCCGGUCAUGCUGUAUUUGCCAGGGAUAGAUGGAAUGGGGAUGGGGCUCUGCAUGCACCACAAGGCUCUUGGAACGAUAUUUGAACUUAGAUGCAUGCACAUUCCUCUUCGCGACCGCACGCCGUUCGAAGAACUUGUCACAAUGGUAGAAGAUGUUGUGAGAGCAGAGCAUUCCGCUUCUCCUACUAAGCCCAUCUACAUAUUGGGGAAUUCAUUUGGAGGAUGCAUAGCUCUUGCAGUCGCCGCUCGCAAUCCUGGCACUGAUUUGGUACUGGUACUAGUUAAUCCAGCUACAUCAUUUGAGAGAUCACGCAUAAAAACACUUCUGUCGGUUUUCAGCCCGUUGUCGGACCGCGCCUGUAUUGCAGCUGCAGCUCUACUGAAUUACAACAUCCACAAUGAGGUGAACAUGGCACUGAGUAUGAUGAAAAGUGGGAGGCAUCCUUUUGAAGCACUCAGCAGAUUGACAAGUAACAUGUCAUCUUCCCUGAAGCAUUCGAAAAUGCUGGACAAACUACCAAAAGACACACUAAAAUGGAAGAUUAAACUGAUCAAACAGGCUGCAUCAUACGCUAAUAGCCAUAUACAAUCAGUUACAGCCGAGGUGCUACUGCUAACCAGCUGCGCCGAUAGGUUACUUCCGAGCAAAUCUGAAGCUAACAGGCUACAGAAGAAGUUACCCAAAUGCAGAGUCUUCUUCUUUGAGAAGCAUGGCCACAGCUUGCUGCUGGAGCAUGGUGUCCAUGUCUCAUCCAUCAUCAAGUGCUCUUCCCUCUACCGCCACUCGAGGCGCUACCACCGGGUUCACGACUACAUACCGCCGUCGGCAACCGACAUGAAGGAGGCCGACAAGAUCAGCAGGGGCACGAUGCUCAAGACGUGCCCGGCGAUGUACUCGACGAUGGAGGACGGCGCGGUGGUCCGGGGCCUGGCGGGGCUGCCGGAGGAGGGGCCGGUGCUGCUGGUGGGCAACCACAUGCUGAUGGGCACGGAGAUCAUCCCGCUCGGCGCGGAGCUGAUGCGGCGGAGGAAGGUGGUCGUCCGCGGCGUCGCCCACCCGCUGCUGUUCCCGAGGAAGGCGAGGACGCGGUCGCAGGGGCACGACCUCUUCGACUUCCUCAACCUGUGGGGCGGCGUGCCCAUGACCUACAGGUGCAUGUACGAGCUGCUGGCCGCCGGCGAGUUCGUGCUGCUCUACCCUGGUGGCUAUAGGGAGGCGCUCCACUGCAAGGGCGAAGAGCACAGGCUUUUUUGGCCUGACCAGGCCGAGUUCGUCAGGAUGGCGGCGCAGUUCGACGCCACAAUUGUGCCAUUUGGAGUCGUUGGAGAGGAUGACCUCGUGAACCUGCUCUGGACAUUCGACGAUAUCAGGAGCGUACCCUUCGGCAGGAAGCUGCUGCGGGGCUACAGCAACCAUCUGAAGCUAAGGGACACUCAGGAGGUGAUCUUCCCCGGCGCAGUCCCAAAGAUCCCCGGCCGGUUCUACUACCGGUUCGGGAAGCCGAUCCCGACGAGGGGGCGGCAGGACGUGCUCACCGACCGGCGGGCCGCGACCGAGCUCUACUUCGAUGUUAAAUCGGAGGUGGAAGAAAUCAUCGCCUACCUGCUGGAGAAGAGGGAGGAGGACAGGUACAGGAGCAUCCUGCCCAGGCUCCUCCACAGAGCUGUGAGGGGGUCCAAAACUGAAGUCCCGGCCUUCAACCCUUAA
rnacentral:rRNA from 1 species